CACGUGAGGGUGCGAGCGUUGUCCGGAAUUAUUGGGCGUAAAGAGCGUGUAGGCGGUUUGGUAGGUCCGCUGUGAAAACUCGAGCUCAACCUCGAGACGCCGGUGGAAACCAUCAGACUAGAGUCCGGAAGAGGAGAGUGGAAUUCCUGGUGUAGCGGUGAAAUGCGCAGAUAUCAGGAAGAACACCCGUGGCUAAGGCGGCUCUCUAGUACGGUACUGACGCUGAGACGCGAAAGCGUGGGGAGCGAACAGG
rnacentral:rRNA from 1 species